UAGUUCGCCUCCACGUGGUGCACCCUGGGUAACGCUAAAUGAACUAGCAAAUCUUUUCAGUCAGACAAUCCUAGGAUCUCCUCUCCAUAUGAUCCAUUUCACAAAGUUUCACUUUUCUUUAAGAGGUAUGAAGCUAUCAAACGAGGCUAACGGUCUUUCUCUUUAUUGUUUUUCUUCUAAUUUUAUUUCUUAACCUCUUCUUUAUGUGUAUUAUUUCUUAUUUUACUGUAAUUCUUCUAAGACUCCAAGUCUUUGAUUUCAUUUCUGUUGAUGCCAUUGUAUAGUUUUCGAUUCAUGAAUGGGAUAUUGUACUGCCUUGGAACAAGGAUUUUUGGACAAGGACAGCUGCACUUCAGUUCAACUACCCUCAUCAAGAUGACAUUAGGUUGAUUAUAUUCAACAUUCAACAGUGGAAUAGGAUGAAAUUCAUCAUUGAAGAGGAAUAGAAUAAUUUUAGAUUUCCCACCACAAAUCGAUGGAUGUAGACAAUUCCAUAGCAGUACAUUUAUCUUUUUGAUGAAUAUUACAAUGCCUCUGAACUUAGACAUGCAUAUCUAAAAUUUAAUUCCUUUGUGUAAAUAUAUUUUAACUGGUAUCUAAUACUCUCAUCAGUGGAUUUCAUCUUUUUGCCACUUCAUUUGCUACUUUGAAUUCUAUUUCAAGUUGUUUUUGAUUUACUUUCGUUUCUCUAUAAUAGCUAGACCUGUAUAUAUGAUUGUUUGUAGCAAUUCUAUACAGCAUCCGUUUGACUGUAUUUCUAUAAGUCUUAUGUGACUGGUAAAAUAUUAUGCUAUCUAUUUAGAAUUUUACUUCAAGUCGUUUUUGAUUACUUUCAUUUCUCUAUAAUAGCCCCAUAUUUUCUCCAUUGUGGGAAUAAUAACGUCAUUCAUUAAUUCUUUAAAAUAUUUUAUUGCCUGUAUUUCAAUAAGUCUCUUUUAAUUCUAUUAUUUUUCUUAUGGUGUCAUUCUUCUAAUACUGUUUUGCUUGUGUAAUUCCUUGUACAAAAUUUUAGUUUUGAUGGAUUUAUUUUCAUGUCGUUUUUCUGAGGUCAUAUGUCAUGAAUUGCUAUAAUUUUAUGGAUUCUGUCUCUUUAGUUUGCCUGUGUUUAAAUAUAACUUAAAAACACAAUAACAUACUUAAAAAUCUCACAAUGAUGACUAUUUUCCAAUAAAUUCCUGGCGCAUUCGCCAUUUAUUCAAAAAAAUCUGAGUCGGGCGAUGUCACUUGUGUUUUUGCUAGUCCAUUUUCCAAUGAAUUUUCCUGAGUAACAUCGACUCCAGAGCAUCACAGCUAGCCUCCCUGCAAAAGAGGAGACCCGGGUCGCCCCCUAACCCUGAUGUUCGGGCAUCGAUGACCUGUGUAGCAUGCAGAGGUACCCAAGGGAGUCACCACCCUCUGGUUUACGAGCUAGGUGUUCUAACGCUAGAGGCUUCGGCCGGAUA